GUUCGUUGCUACUGCUGUGUCAUUGCAUCCUUUGCGAUUUCGUGUCUUCUCCACUGCCUCCUUUCCUCUCCACUGCCAACUGCCAUCAGCGCCUUCAUUUUAAGGAUUGAGGCUGCUUUGGCUGUCGAUGCAAGUAACACACACAACAUAUUAAUCAGACACAUCAGUCAUAUCUUUAUAUUGAUUUAUUCACAAUUCUACAUGUCC